rnacentral:rRNA from 1 species
UACAGAGGGGGCAAGCGUUGUUCGGAAUUACUGGGCGUAAAGGGCGCGUAGGCGGCCCGCUAAGUCGAACGUGAAAUCCCCGAGCUCAACUCGGGAACUGCGUCCGAUACUGGCGGGCUUGAAUCCGGGAGAGGGAUGCGGAAUUCCAGGUGUAGCGGUGAAAUGCGUAGAUAUCAGGAGGAACACCGGUGGCGAAGGCGGGUCUCUGGGCAACUACUGACGCUGAGGAGCGAAAGCGUGGGGAGCGAACAGG